UGGUUCAGACGUCUGGGCUGUGUUUCCUGGGAGACAUCAUUUGAGUUGUGUUUGGGCAUUGAGGAUUUACAUUUGAUAAGAUAUCUCCAGUCACUGUUGGGGUGAACAUCUUCUGGCACAUCUGGAAAAUCUGUUCUCUGAGUAUGGCUUCCGGAGUUGACUGGAGGGAGAGGAGAGCCAGGGAGAGUGAGCGACUUUGGGUGUGCUAUGCCGCAUGUGGGCAUGGAAAUGCACAGUGAGGUCCAGGUGCUCCAUGCUUCUUUUCCCCUCUUCCAAACCUGCUCUGGGCAACGUGCUGCAUCCAGGAAACCUUCAGCUGCUGCCUAAGCAAAGUGUGGCUAGACUGGUCCCCACCUAGCAGAACUGCUCUGCUCCAGGUGGAGAAGAGUCCAGAAACUCUGUCUCCAUGUUGCCAUUGUUUUCAAAGAUAAGUCUUAAUGUCCUAAAAAUUAGAAGUUCGCAAACUGGCAAACGAUCCAAAGGCACCCAGCUCUCCAACCACGGGCACUUGUGAAAGUUCCUCUGCCCAGCCCUCCAGGGCUGUCUUUCACAGGACUCUGUUGUUUAUAUUACUAUUCAUAACUUGACCACAUUUUGUUAAAUUUCCUGUUCAAAAUUUUAUCUAUUUUGAGUAGGGACAUUUCCGUAUUCACUUUUGUUAUAUUUGACUUGCGAAGAAAAAUCUAAACCACUCAUGCUAAGAUGUAAGGAGCCGGUAUUUGCUUGCGAUGCCUCUGCUUCCUUCCGCAAUCUGAACACACAGCUACAGGAGGGGUUCGGUGAAUGACAGUAUUUCUAAUUAGAGAAAUGCUCAUGCCAGAGUGUUAAAUAGCAAAUGCAGAUCAGGUUCAACAGGGUAUGUGACACCAUAUGAGCCAGAUAAGGGCAUUUGCUUUUUUCCACAAAAAGAUUACUUCUCGGGGCUGCAGAGAUGGCUCAGAGGUUAGGAGUACUGGCUGCUCUUCCAGAGGUCCUGAGUUCAAUUCCUAGCAACCACAU